rnacentral:rRNA from 1 species
AGAGUUUGAUCCUGGCUCAGGAUGAACGCUGGCGGCAUGCCUAAUACAUGCAAGUCGAACGAGGUCAAGGAGAGCUUGCUCGAGAUGACCUAGUGGCGAACGGGUGAGUAACACGUGGGCAAUCUGCCCGUAUGUCGUGGAUAACGGUUGGAAACGACAGCUAAUACAGGAUGAGCAUCCCGAAGGCAUCUUUGGGAUGUAAAAGGGGCUAAGGCCCCGCAUACGGAUGAGCCUGCGGUGCAUUAGCUAGUUGGUGAGGUAACGGCCCACCAAGGCGAUGAUGCAUAGCCGACCUGAGAGGGUGACCGGCCACAUUGGGACUGAGACACGGCCCAAACUCCUACGGGAGGCAGCAGUAGGGAAUUUUCGUCAAUGGGGGGAACCCUGAACGAGCAAUGCCGCGUGAGUGAAGAAGGUCUUCGGAUCGUAAAGCUCUGUUGUAAGAGAAAAACGGACUCCAUAGGGAAUGAUGGAGGAGUGAUGGUAUCUUACCAGAAAGCCACGGCUAACUACGUGCCAGCAGCCGCGGUAAUACGUAGGUGGCGAGCGUUAUCCGGAAUCAUUGGGCGUAAAGGGUGCGUAGGUGGCACGAUAAGUCUGUAGUAAAAGGCAGCGGCUCAACCGCUGUUGGCUAUGGAAACUGUCGAGCUGGAGUGCAGAAGAGGGCGAUGGAAUUCCAUGUGUAGCGGUAAAAUGCGUAGAUAUAUGGAGGAACACCAGUGGCGAAGGCGGCCGCCUGGUCUGCAACUGACACUGAAGCACGAAAGCGUGGGGAGCAAAUAGGAUUAGAUACCCUAGUAGUCCACGCCGUAAACGAUGAGAACUAAGUGUUGGGGAAACUCAGUGCUGCAGUUAACGCAAUAAGUUCUCCGCCUGGGGAGUAUGCACGCAAGUGUGAAACUCAAAGGAAUUGACGGGGGCCCGCACAAGCGGUGGAGUAUGUGGUUUAAUUCGAAGCAACGCGAAGAACCUUACCAGGCCUUGACAUCCCGAUGACCGUCCUAGAGAUAGGGCUUCUCUUCGGAGCAUCGGUGACAGGUGGUGCAUGGUUGUCGUCAGCUCGUGUCGUGAGAUGUUGGGUUAAGUCC